GCCGAGUGUAGCGCUCCGUCUCUUUUCCGACCAGAUGGGUCACCGGCUGUUGAAAAAGAAUCCAAACCUCUGAAAAGGAAAUACAUGUACAUGGUUGAAAACUCAAAAGGCAGCAAAAGUUAUACAGUGACAAGUUGUGUGUUUUCCCUUUCCUUGAAGACUUAGAGCUCUGUGAGAGUGGGGCUCAAUUCCUGUCCCCAGGCUCUGCCUCAGCAUCCAGAAUAGGGCCCGUGCAAAGAGCAGAGAGGUUCAAAGUUGCCUAGUUACAGGCUGACAAGCAGGGCAGCCUGUUGGCCCUCCCCAGUCGCAGGCUCCCUGAGCCGAGGGGAGGAGGCUGCUGUCUCUAAAGAGGACUUGAUGGACGGUUAUUGAAGGUGCUCAGCCGGGGGCUGUACUCUAGUCUCAAUCUGAGCCGCCCUCAAGGAAAUCACAACCAGCUCUUAAAGACAUGUUAAGACCGAAGCUCGUGUGUUUGUUUGAGCAGAGCUCCAGACAGCUACUUAACACUGGGGGCCUCCAGGCCUUUGAUUCCUCCACCCCUCGCCUUGGUCUCUCCCCCUAUCUGGCUGGCGUUUAUCGACUAAGACAUUGUUUAAAUCACACUCAUUUCCUAUAAACAUUUCACUUGAAAUGCCAUCUGCUCCUUCAGAAAUUCAUCUAUCAGCAGCUCCGAGGUAUACUUGAGGAGCCUUGGGGUGAUGGGUCCCCAUCUCUCUCUCUCCUGUCCCCCAUCAUCCCUCCUCCCCUGACUCGUAUUCUCAGGUUUCACAUCAUAUGAACAACUUCCCCUCAGUGUAAUAGGGUACUUAGUUUCAGGAUUAUUUAUAACAGUUGAGAUGGCACCAGGCUAUGGGGAAAGCCCAGCCCAUGGACACUUUCUCUUGCAAAGCUCAAUAAAUGAACCUGGAACAGUUUA